rnacentral:rRNA from 2 species
UGGGGAAUAUUGCGCAAUGGGGGAAACCCUGACGCAGCAACGCCGCGUGAAGGAUGAAGGUUUUCGGAUUGUAAACUUCUUUGAUGAGGGACGAACACAAUGACGGUACCUCAAGAACAAGCCACGGCUAACUACGUGCCAGCAGCCGCGGUAAUACGUAGGUGGCAAGCGUUGUCCGGAAUUACUGGGUGUAAAGGGCGUGUAGGCGGGGCGGCAAGUCAGAUGUGAAAUACCGUGGCUUAACUGCGGGGGUGCAUCUGAAACUGCUGCUCUUGAGUGUCGGAGAGGAAAGUGGAAUUCCCAGUGUAGCGGUGAAAUGCGUAGAGAUUGGGAGGAACACCAGUGGCGAAGGCGGCUUUCUGGACGACAACUGAUGCUGAGGCGCGAAAGCGUGGGGAGCAAACAGG